AGAUUUUAAAACAAAAUUGGUGAACAAGUAUAUAUAUGGUCAGAACCCUUGUCAAACAUACGACUUCAUUGAACAAGAGACAUGGAAUGAGUUUUAUCAGUCGCAUACGGGUGAAUCAUAUGAGGCAACAAGGAAAAAAUAUCAAGACAUACAAGCUAAGAAUAUUCAUCCACAUCUUUUAGCUCGAGGAGGUUAUAAAAGGUUGGAGAAGAUGAUGAUGGACGAGAAGUUGAAAGAACAACAAGC